GUAACCCUCGAUGACAUUGCUGCAAAAGCAAAUUGCAACAAUAUAAGAAGAAAAGUUAUCAGAUAAAUAUAUUAAAAAAAAAAAAUCACUUAAAGAACAAGAUAAUGAGAUCCAGUUGAGAUUUCUAGCUAGGAAACAGAGAUUAAGUGGAACUUGCUUCUAAAAAACUGUUUGAAAGUUUGAUUGAGGCCAACAAGCAAAAUUAUCAAGUAUCAUUUAGAAUUGUUAAAACGAAUUCACAGAAAAGGAAAAAAAAAAUUGAGGAGAGAGAGUGACUAUAAUUGGAAUUUGAACAUCUUUUUUCCCAAACUAAGGACCAAACAAUUAAAAGAAGACCGGGGAAAAAAGAAAGAGUGAGAGUAUACUAGUACACUAGAAUAAAAAUCCAAAAGAAAUCCUGCACAUCCAUCGGCAAAUCAGAGGUCAACUCUUAAAAGGCAUGGACUUACGACUAUGAGUACAGUGGAAAUGGAUAACAUUUGCUAAUUAUCCAUUUCUUAACCAACCAAGCCAACAACGUGAGUGCUAAAACAUUGAUAACUAGAGAUAAAAAAAA
rnacentral:misc_RNA from 1 species